rnacentral:rRNA from 1 species
GACGAACGCUGGCGGCGUGCUUAACACAUGCAAGUCGAACGGAAAGGCCCUGCUUGCAGGGUACUCGAGUGGCGAACGGGUGAGUAACACGUGGGUGAUCUGCCCUGCACUUCGGGAUAAGCCUGGGAAACUGGGUCUAAUACCGGAUAGGAGCCAUUUUUAGUGUGAUGGUUGGAAAGUUUUUUCGGUGUAGGAUGAGCUCGCGGCCUAUCAGCUUGUUGGUGGGGUAAUGGCCUACCAAGGCGGCGACGGGUAGCCGGCCUGAGAGGGUGGACGGCCACAUUGGGACUGAGAUACGGCCCAGACUCCUACGGGAGGCAGCAGUGGGGAAUAUUGCACAAUGGGCGCAAGCCUGAUGCAGCGACGCCGCGUGGGGGAUGACGGCCUUCGGGUUGUAAACUCCUUUCGCCAGGGACGAAGCUUUUGUGACGGUACCUAGAGAAGAAGCACCGGCUAACUACGUG